GCCUUCGUAGUGUAGUAGUUAACACACUCGACGCGUAUUCAAGAGGUCAGUGGUUCGAAUCCCGGUGAGGGCA
rnacentral:tRNA from 1 species